UAAGGAUUUAAGUUAAACAAACUUAUGACCUUCAAAGUCAUCAAUAAAGGUAUUCUUUAAGCCUUAG
rnacentral:tRNA from 1 species